rnacentral:rRNA from 1 species
AGAGUUUGAUCCUGGCUCAGGAUGAACGCUGGCGGCGUGCCUAACACAUGCAAGUCGAGCGAUUUACUUCGGUAAAGAGCGGCGGACGGGUGAGUAACGCGUGGGUAACCUGCCCUGUACACACGGAUAACAUACCGAAAGGUAUGCUAAUACGAGAUAAUAUACUUUUAUCGCAUGGUAGAAGUAUCAAAGCUCCGGCGGUACAGGAUGGACCCGCGUCUGAUUAGCUAGUUGGUAAGGUAACGGCUUACCAAGGCGACGAUCAGUAGCCGACCUGAGAGGGUGAUCGGCCACAUUGGAACUGAGACACGGUCCAAACUCCUACGGGAGGCAGCAGUGGGGAAUAUUGCACAAUGGGCGAAAGCCUGAUGCAGCAACGCCGCGUGAGCGAUGAAGGCCUUCGGGUCGUAAAGCUCUGUCCUCAAGGAAGAUAAUGACGGUACUUGAGGAGGAAGCCCCGGCUAACUACGUGCCAGCAGCCGCGGUAAUACGUAGGGGGCUAGCGUUAUCCGGAAUUACUGGGCGUAAAGGGUGCGUAGGUGGUUUCUUAAGUCAGAGGUGAAAGGCUACGGCUCAACCGUAGUAAGCCUUUGAAACUGGGAAACUUGAGUGCAGGAGAGGAGAGUGGAAUUCCUAGUGUAGCGGUGAAAUGCGUAGAUAUUAGGAGGAACACCAGUUGCGAAGGCGGCUCUCUGGACUGUAACUGACACUGAGGCACGAAAGCGUGGGGAGCAAACAGGAUUAGAUACCCUGGUAGUCCACGCCGUAAACGAUGAGUACUAGCUGUCGGAGGUUACCCCCUUCGGUGGCGCAGCUAACGCAUUAAGUACUCCGCCUGGGAAGUACGCUCGCAAGAGUGAAACUCAAAGGAAUUGACG